rnacentral:lncRNA from 1 species
UCAUGAACUCAAGAACAAGAUAUUUUAUUCGAUGCAUUUUGUACAAAUAGUUGUACCUCUACUUGAUCAGAAUCAAAUAUAAAAAUUAUAGAUGACUAUGAAUGGCAGAAAUUUACGGUAAACAACCAUAAUCAAGAGUGAAAGUGAUAUAGAUAUUAUCCAUCUGGAUUCAUUUUCAUAUCUGAAUCAAUCUAGAUAUGGACAAAAAUUUGAAAUCCAACUAAUAUCUAUAUCCAUAUCUAUAUCCAUCAA